rnacentral:rRNA from 1 species
UACGGAGGGUGCAAGCGUUAUCCGGAAUUAUUGGGCGUAAAGCGCGCGCAGGCGGGAAUAUGAGUCUAUCUUCAAAGUGCGGAGCUCAACUCCGUGAUGGGGUAGAAACGGUAUUUCUUGAGUGCAGGAGAGGAAAGUGGAAUUCCCAGUGUAGCGGUGAAAUGCGUAGAGAUUGGGAGGAACACCAGUGGCGAAGGCGACUUUCUGGACUGUGUCUGACGCUGAGGCGCGAAAGCCAGGGGAGUGAACGGG